AUACGUAGGUGACAAGCGUUAUCCGGAUUUACUGGGCGUAAAGGGCGUGUAGGCGGUCUUGCAAGUCAGAAGUGAAAUUCCUGAGCUCAACUCGGGCGCUGCUUCUGAAACUGCAGGACUUGAGUGCUGGAGGGGAUAGCGGAAUUCCUAGUGGAGCGGUAAAAUGCGCAGAUAUAGGAAGAACACCGGUGGCGAAGGCGGCUAUCUGGACAGUAACUGACGCUGAGGCGCGAAAGCGUGGGGAGCAAACAGGAUUAGAUACCCUGGUAGUCACACUGUAAACGAUGAAUGCUAGGUGUAAGAGGUAUCGACCCCUUUUGUGCCGGAGUCAACACAAUAAGCAUUCCGCCUGGGGAGUACGGCCGCAAGGUUGAAACUCAAAUGAAUUGACGGGG
rnacentral:rRNA from 1 species